rnacentral:rRNA from 1 species
AACGAACGCUGGCGGCAGGCUUAACACAUGCAAGUCGAACGCACCGCAAGGUGAGUGGCAGACGGGUGAGUAACACGUGGGAACGUACCCCUUUGUUCGGAAUAGCCCUGGGAAACUAGGGCUAAUACCGGAUACGGCCGGAAGGCGAAAGGUUUACCGCAGAGGGAUCGGCCCGCGUCCGAUUUAGCUUGUUGGUGAGGUAAUGGCUCACCAAGGCAUCGAUCGGUAGCUGGUCUGAGAGGAUGGCCAGCCACAUUGGGACUGAGACACGGCCCAAACUCCUACGGGAGGCAGCAGUGGGGAAUAUUGGACAAUGGGCGCAAGGCCUGAUCCAGCCAUGCCGCGUGAGUGAUGACGGCCUU